GGGUGUAUAGCUCAGUUGGUAGAGCAUUGGGCUUUUAACCUAAUGGUCGUAGGUUCAAGUCCUGCUAUACCCA
rfam:Capsicum annuum cultivar Zunla-1 chromosome 11, whole genome shotgun sequence